GAUGAACGCUGGCGGCGUGCCUAAUACAUGCGAGUCGAGCGAACGGACGAGAAGCUUGCUUCUCUGAUGUUAGCGGCGGACGGGUGAGUAACACGUGGAUAACCUACCUAUAAGACUGGGAUAACUUCGGGAAACCGGAGCUAAUACCGGAUGAUAUUUUGAACCGCAUGGUUCAAAAGUGAAAGACGGUCUUGCUGUCACUUAUAGAUGGAUCCGCGCUGCAUUAGCUAGUUGGUAAGGUAAUGGCUUACCAAGGCAACGAUGCAUAGCCGACCUGAGAGGGUGAUCGGCCACACUGGAACUGAGACACGGUCCAGACUCCUACGGGAGGCAGCAGUAGGGAAUCUUCCGCAAUGGGCGAAAGCCUGACGGAGCAACGCCGCGUGAGUGAUGAAGGUCUUCGGAUCGUAAAACUCUGUUAUUAGGGAAGAACAUAUGUGUAAGUAACUGUGCACAUCUUGACGGUACCUAAUCAGAAAGCCACGGCUAACUACGUG
rnacentral:rRNA from 1 species